rnacentral:rRNA from 1 species
AACGAACGCUGGCGGCAGGCUUAACACAUGCAAGUCGAGCGCUCACUUCGGUGGGAGCGGCAGACGGGUGAGUAACGCGUGGGAAUCUACCUAGCUCUACGGAAUAGCUUCGGGAAACUGGAAUUAAUACCGUAUACGCCCUCCGGGGGAAAGAUUUAUCGGAGUUAGAUGAGCCCGCGUUAGAUUAGCUAGUUGGUGGGGUAAUGGCCUACCAAGGCGACGAUCUAUAGCUGGUCUGAGAGGAUGAUCAGCCACACUGGGACUGAGACACGGCCCAGACUCCUACGGGAGGCAGCAGUGGGGAAUAUUGGACAAUGGGCGCAAGCCUGAUCCAGCCAUGCCGCGUGAGUGAUGAAGGCCUUAGGGUUGUAAAGCUCUUUCAACGGGGAAGAUAAUGACGGUACCCGUAGAAGAAGCCCCGGCUAACUUCG